AUGAACGCUAGCUACAGGCUUAACACAUGCAAGUCGAGGGGCAGCAUGAACUUAGCUUGCUAAGUUUGAUGGCGACCGGCGCACGGGUGAGUAACACGUAUCCAACCUGCCGAUGACUCGGGGAUAGCCUUUCGAAAGAAAGAUUAAUACCCGAUGGCAUAGUUCUUCCGCAUGGUAGAACUAUUAAAGAAUUUCGGUCAUCGAUGGGGAUGCGUUCCAUUAGGUUGUUGGCGGGGUAACGGCCCACCAAGCCUUCGAUGGAUAGGGGUUCUGAGAGGAAGGUCCCCCACAUUGGAACUGAGACACGGUCCAAACUCCUACGGGAGGCAGCAGUGAGGAAUAUUGGUCAAUGGACGAGAGUCUGAACCAGCCAAGUAGCGUGAAGGAUGACUGCCCUAUGGGUUGUAAACUUCUUUUAUACGGGAAUAAAGUGAGGCACGUGUGCCUUUUUGUAUGUACCGUAUGAAUAAGGAUCGGCUAACUCCGUGCCAGCAGCCGCGGUAAUACGGAGGAUCCGAGCGUUAUCCGGAUUUAUUGGGUUUAAAGGGAGCGUAGGCGGACGCUUAAGUCAGUUGUGAAAGUUUGCGGCUCAACCGUAAAAUUGCAGUUGAUACUGGGUGUCUUGAGUACAGUAGAGGCAGGCGGAAUUCGUGGUGUAGCGGUGAAAUGCUUAGAUAUCACGAAGAACUCCGAUUGCGAAGGCAGCUUGCUGGACUGUAACUGACGCUGAUGCUCGAAAGUGUGGGUAUCAAACAGGAUUAGAUACCCUGGUAGUCCACACAGUAAACGAUGAAUACUCGCUGUUUGCGAUAUACAGUAAGCGGCCAAGCGAAAGCGUUAAGUAUUCCACCUGGGGAGUACGCCGGCAACGGUGAAACUCAAAGGAAUUGACGGGGGCCCGCACAAGCGGUGGAGCAUGUGGUUUAAUUCGAAGCAACGCGAAGAACCUUACCAGGUCUUGACAUCGAUCUAAAGGCUCAAGAGAUGGAGAGAUAGCUAUAGAGAAGACAGGUGGUGCAUGGUUGUCGUCAGCUCGUGUCGUGAGAUGUUGGGUUAAGUCCCGCAACGAGCGCAACCCUUAUGACUAGUUGCCAGCAUUUAGUUGGGCACUCUAGUAAGACUGCCGGUGACAAACCGGAGGAAGGUGGGGAUGACGUCAAAUCAUCAUGCCCUUUAUGUCCUGGGCUACACACGUACUACAAUGGGUGUAACAGAGGGAAGCAACACAGCGAUGUGAAGCGAAACCCAAAAAGCACCCCCAGUUCGGAUUGAAGGCUGAAAUUCGCCUUCAUGAAGCCGGAAUUGCUAGUAAUGGCAGGUCAGCAUACUGCGGUGAAUACGUUCCCGGGCCUUGUACACACCGCCCGUCACACCAUGAGAGUUGGGGAUACCCGAAGCCUGUGAGCCAACAUAUCUAUGAGGCAGCAGUCGAAGGUAGAAUCAAUGAUUGGGGUG
rnacentral:rRNA from 1 species